UACAGAGGUUGCAAACGUUGUUCGGAAUUACUGGGCAUAAAGCGCACGUAGGUGGUCCGCUAAGUCGGAUGUGAAAUUCCCCGGCUCAACCGGGGAACGGCAAUCGAUACUGGCGGGCUUGAGGUCCGGAGGGGUGAGUGGAACUCCUGGUGGAGCGGUGAAAUGCGUAGAUAUCAGGAGGAACACCAGUGGCGAAAGCGGCUCACUGGCCGGAAUCUGACACUGAGGUGCGAAAGCUAGGGUAGCAAACGGG
rnacentral:rRNA from 1 species